GGCCGGUUGGCCCAAUGGCAAGGCGUCUGACUACGAUUGAAAAGGAAACUCAAGGUCAUAAUCAGGAGAUUCUGGGUUCGACCCCCAGGCUGGUCA